rnacentral:lncRNA from 1 species
GAGAUUCGAGUAAGCCCGCAGUUGAGAAAAGGCCAAAGGAAGUCCGGCCGCAUUCUCGAUCCCCUCCUGGGCAUAAGCACGCCCAUACUCCACCCCGGGCACGCAGGCAGAGAAGCCCGGACCGUGGGGUUCGGCAGGGUUCCCCACCAGGGAGAUUCCGCAACUACGCCCCCCUCAACGCCUCGAAGGCCCAGGUAUUGAUGGAGGUCAGGGAGCAGCUCCCUAGGCCGGAGAGGAUGCGCACACACCCUAGGAAGCGCAACCCCAACAAGUUCUGCCUCUACCACCGCGACCACGACCACGACACAGAGGAAUGCAUCCAGCUCCAGGACGAGAUCGAAGAGCUCAUUCGGCGAGGUCGACUUGACAAAUUCAUCCACCGCAGGCCUGAGGG